GUGCGUCUGAAGAUGAACAUCUACGUUCAGCAGCUCAAAAGAUGAAGAAGAAGUAUGAUAAGUAUUGGGGAUCACAUGAUAAGCUUAACAUGUUGUUGUUGAUUGCUCUAGUUUUCGACCCUAGACGCAAGGUUAGAUUGGUUGAUUGGAUGGUACGACGAUAUUAUAAUAAGGUUGAUGCUGAUGCCUUGAAAGGAACCUUAGAGUCUUGCUUGACAUCUAUUUAUGAGGAAUAUUGUGUUGGAUUUAUGUGUCCUCAAGGUAAUUCAAAUGAGCCGCAAGUUUUUGGUAGUGUUAGUCAUCCUUAUGGAACUGUUGAGUUCUAUCUUUCAGAAGGGUGUGACAAUGCAGAUAAUGAAUUAAUUUCUUAUCUUGGAGAGAAGUUAGAGCAUAACAUGGAGAUAAAUGUUCUAGAGUGGUGGAGAGUAAACUCUGGCCGCUAUCCCAUCCUUGCAAACAUUGCAAGAGAUGUGCUAGCUAUACCAAUAAGCACAGUGGCGUCUGAGUCUGCAUUCAGUACAUGAGAAAGGGUGCUUGAUCCAUAUCGUAGCUCAUUAACACCUAAAACAGUCGAAGCACUGAUAUGCACUCAGGAUUGGCUCAAAGGAACAUCUUCAUCCUUGAUUACAAAUGAAGAUUUUGAUCUUCUUGAGAGAUAUGAGCAAGAAUUACUUUAUACGGAAGAUGGUGCUAGCUGUUCAACAUCUUCAACCUCUGUUGCACUUGAAAAAGACUUGUCGGUUUAAUUGUUGUACUGCACUCGGUUGAAAUUGGGAUGGGACUUGAGGAAGAAUUUGGCAUUAGCGUGGAAGAAGAAAGUGCUCUGAGCUUCUUGAAACCAAGGCUUAAACCAACACAGAGGAGGACUUAACAUGUCCAUUUUGGAGUGUCUAUUUUUUGUUGCUAUAUGAUAUUUGGUGUGUCAGUCUAAUUAAACUUCAUGUAAUUGCUAGAUGUUUU